UUCGCAUAGCUGCAACACUUAGACCAUAAGCAAUGAUGUAAGAGAUGGUCUCUCUGUUCACACCUCGAUAUACAAUUUCAGAAUUAAAUAAAUGAUUAUAAGAUUUUUAGAUUGAUGAGCAAAAUUAUGUUUGAUGAAGAUCAAAAGUUUAUGUACUAUAAUACUUACCCCAUUGUUAUAACUGAAGUAGUAAUUUUCGAAUUCGGCAUCAACUCUACUAACAAAACCAGAAUUUCGUAAGCCAUAUACUCAAGACUGAUUAAACUACGAAAUUGUCGAUUAUGAGGAAAACAAAUCUACUAAAAUGAACAUAAACACUGGUGCAUGCUUCCUCAUUCCUCCUUUCUACUGCGUCACAACUUCAGAUUAUAAAUUUACAAUGGUUCCACUUUUUGUGCUGCAUAAUAUGUAAAAAGAACUGAACGAGCUAAUAGUUUCAGAUUUGACAACAUCUAUUAGUUUAGUUGGCUAAUUCUCUAUGAAUAUGUGUUAGCAAAUAAUUCAGUAGGGAAAAUGUUUAUCAGUCAUAUAACAAAUUCACGAAAUAGAUAUACUAGCACCUACAACAUCAAAAUAUAUAUUCAAGAAAUUGGGAAGAUUAUAUUUACCUCAUCAAAGAGAUACCAAGACCAAUAAAAAAAUAUUGAAUUAGUAAAAAUAAAUUCCAUGGAAUAUAUCACUAGUCUUAAAUCAUAUAUCCACUGUUCACAAAAAGAAGAUAUAUAUAUGAGAUUGAUACUUCCUACAAUUUUAAGAAGAAUAAAAAAAUCCCCCAAGUUAGGGUUCUUACAAAAAUAAAAUUAAUAAUUGGGAGAGGGGAAGAUAAAAUUACCGUGUUAUUCUUCUUCCGAAGGAAAGAUGAAGUGCCUUGUCUUCAAUUGAAAAUCUUAUGUCAUAGAAAAAAGAGGGAAAUUGAUGAAUCUUUAAAAAUAAAUUCCAUGGAGUAUCAGUAAUCCUAAAACAUAUAUCCAUACAAUAGAACGAGAUUUAAGAGAUUGAUAUUUAAUUAAUGUUUGAAGAAGAAAAAAAAUCCCCAAGUUAGGGUUUUUAGAGAAGUAAAAUUGACGGUUGGGAGGGAAAAAAAAAGUACCGUGUUCUUCUUCUUCAAUGGCGAGAUGAAACCCUUUAUGGGUAACGUGUUCUUC
rnacentral:lncRNA from 1 species